rnacentral:rRNA from 1 species
UGGGGAAUAUUGCACAAUGGGCGAAAGCCUGAUGCAGCAACGCCGCGUGAGUGAUGAGGGCCUUCGGGUUGUAAAGCUCUGUCUUUUGGGACGAUAAUGACGGUACCAAAGGAGGAAGCCACGGCUAACUACGUGCCAGCAGCCGCGGUAAUACGUAGGUGGCAAGCGUUGUCCGGAUUUACUGGGCGUAAAGGAUGCGUAGGCGGAUUUUUAAGUGAGAUGUGAAAAACCCUAAGCUUAACUUGGGACUGCAUUUCAUACUGGAAAUCUAGAGUGCGGGAGAGGAGAAUGGAAUUCCUAGUGUAGCGGUGAAAUGCGUAGAGAUUAGGAAGAACACCAGUGGCGAAGGCGAUUCUCUGGACCGUAACUGACGCUGAGGCAUGAAAGCGUGGGUAGCAAAACAGGAUUAGAUACCCUGGUAGUCCACGCCGUAAACGAUGAGUACUAGGUGUAGGAGGUAUCGACCCCCUUCUGUGCCGCAGUUAACACAAUAAGUACUCCGCCUGGGAAGUACGAUCGCAAGAUUAAAACUUAAAGGAAUUGACGGGGUCAUAGCUGUUUCCU